GCCGAGGUUCUAGAGCUUGGUACUAGGCAAGCCUGGAGAGCUUGUGGCGCUAACGCGCCUCGUGGGUUCAAAUCCCACCCUCGGCG
rnacentral:tRNA from 1 species